UCCUAAAACCCUUAGAAAUCGUAUUAUACUCGUAUAAAUUAAUUCUGACUGUUAGAUUGCAUUUGGACCACCCAGAUCUGAUCAAAAAUCAGUUGUUUUCUCCUUGUCAGGGUCAGAUUCAUUCUCAACCAUCCGAUCACACUCCAAAUUGAAUUCUAGCCAUCGAAUGGUGCAAAAUCUCUCCUUAACAAAGUCGGGAUGAACAAUAACCAUUGGAUCGAGUGAUGGAUGGAAUCUGGGCCAUCGGAUCGCACCCAAAAAUCCUAUUCAAAGUCAGAAAUAAUGCUGGCCAUC
rnacentral:lncRNA from 1 species